rnacentral:sRNA from 1 species
GCUGGGCAUGGUGGUGCAUGCCUGUAAUCCCAGCUACUCGGGAGGCUGAGGCAGGAGAAUCGCUUGAACCCAGGAGGCAGAGAUCGCAGUGAGCCGAGAUUGCACCAUUGCACGCCAGCCUGGGUGACAGAGUGAGCCUCUGUCUCAA